rnacentral:rRNA from 1 species
GAGUUUGAUCCUGGCUCAGAACGAACGCUGGCGGCRUGCUUAACACAUGCAAGUCGAACGUGAUCCGGAGCUUGCUCCGGUGAAAGUGGCGCACGGGUGAGUAACGCGUGGAUAAUCUGCCCUGGUAUCUGGGAUAACAUCUCGAAAGGGGUGCUAAUACCGGAUAAGCCUACGGUCUCUUCGGAGUCUGCAGGAAAAGGUGGCCUCUAUUUAUAAGCUACCGUAUCAGGAUGAGUCCGCGUACCAUUAGCUAGUUGGUGGGGUAAUGGCCCACCAAGGCUACGAUGGUUAGCUGGUCUGAGAGGAUGAUCAGCCACACUGGAACUGAGACACGGUCCAGACUCCUACGGGAGGCAGCAGUGGGGAAUUUAGCGCAAUGGGGGAAACCCUGACGCAGCAACGCCGCGUGAGUGAUGAAGGCUUUCGGGUCGUAAAGCUCUGUCAGAGGGGAAGAAAUGAGUCUGGCUAAUAUCCAGAUUUCUUGACGGUACCCUCAAAGGAAGCGCCGGCUAACUCCGUGCCAGCAGCCGCGGUAAUAC